rnacentral:rRNA from 1 species
GACGUAGGGCGCGAGCGUUGUCCGGAUUUAUUGGGCGUAAAGAGCUCGUAGGCGGCUUGUCGCGUCGACUGUGAAAACCCGCGGCUCAACUGUGGGCUUGCAGUCGAUACGGGCAGGCUGGAGUUCGGUAGGGGAGACUGGAAUUCCUGGUGUAGCGGUGAAAUGCGCAGAUAUCAGGAGGAACACCGGUGGCGAAGGCGGCUUGCUGGGCCAGUUCUGACGCUGAGGAGCGAAAGCGUGGGGAGCGAACAGG